GCCCCCGUAGCUCAGUGGAUAGAGCAAUGGAUUCCUAAUCCAUGUGCCGCAAGUUCGAUUCUCGCCGGGGGCACCA
rnacentral:tRNA from 2 species